rnacentral:rRNA from 1 species
GACGAACGCUGGCGACGCGCUUAACACAUGCAAGUCGAACGGAAAGGCCUGCUUUCCCUUGUGGAUUGCGGGUACUCGAGUGGCGAACGGGUGAGUAACACGUGAGUGAUCUGCCCCCAACUUGGGUAUAAGCCUGGGAAACUGGGUCUAAUUCCCGAUAGGACUGCAGGGUGGUGCCUGUGGUGGAAAACGAUUUUCUAGUGGUUGGGGAUGAGCUCGCGGCCUAUCAGCUUGUUGGUGGGGUAAUGGCCUACCAAGGCGGCGACGGGUAGCCGGCCUGGGAGGGUGGACGGCCACAUUGGGACUGAGAUACGGCCCAGACUCCUACGGGAGGCAGCAGUGGGGAAGAUUGCACAAUGGGCGGAAGCCUGAUGCAGCGACGCCGCGUGGGGGAUGACGGCCUUCGGGUUGUAAACUCCUUUCGACCGCGAGGAAGCCACCUGGUUGGAAGGGUGGUGACGGUAGUGGUAGAAGAAGCACCGGCUAACUACGUG